rnacentral:rRNA from 1 species
UACGUAGGGGGGCAAGCGUUGUCCGGAAUUAUUGGGCGUAAAGCGCGCGCAGGCGGUCUUUUUAAGUCUGAUGUGAAAGCCCACGGCUCAACCGUGGAGGGUCAUUGGAAACUGGGGGACUUGAGUACAGAAGAGAAGAGUGGAAUUCCACGUGUAGCGGUGAAAUGCGUAGAGAUGUGGAGGAACACCAGUGGCGAAGGCGACUCUUUGGUCUGUAACUGACGCUGAGGCGCGAAAGCGUGGGGAGCAAACAGG